rnacentral:rRNA from 1 species
AUUGAACGCUGGCGGCAUGCCUUACACAUGCAAGUCGAACGGUAACGCGGGGCAACCUGGCGACGAGUGGCGAACGGGUGAGUAAUGCAUCGGAACGUGCCCGGUAGUGGGGGAUAACUGCUCGAAAGAGCAGCUAAUACCGCAUACGACCUGAGGGUGAAAGGGGGGGAUCGCAAGACCUCUCGCUAUCGGAGCGGCCGAUGUCGGAUUAGCUAGUUGGUGGGGUAAAGGCCUACCAAGGCCACGAUCCGUAGCUGGUCUGAGAGGACGACCAGCCACACUGGGACGGAGACACGGCCCAGACUCCUACGGGAGGCAGCAGUGGGGAAUUUUGGACAAUGGGCGCAAGUCUGAUCCAGCCAUGCCGCGUGCGGGAAGAAGGCCUUCGGGUUGUAAACCGCUUUUGUCAGGGAAGAAAUCUUCUGAGUUAAUACCUCGGGAGGAUGACGGUACCUGAAGAAUAAGCACCGGCUAACUACGUGCCAGCAGCCGCAGUAACAC